UACGUAGGGUGCAGGCGUUAAUCGGAAUUACUGGGCGUAAAGCGUGCGCAGGCGGCUCCUUAAGUCAGAUGUGAAAUCCCCGGGCUUAACCUGGGAACUGCGUUUGAAACUGAGGAGCUCGAGUGUGGAAGAGGGGGGUGGAAUUCCAGGUGUAGCAGUGAAAUGCGUAGAGAUCUGGAGGAACACCGGUGGUGUAGACGGCGUUCUGGACCGUAACUGACGCUGAGACACGAAAGCGUGGGUAGCAAACAGG
rnacentral:rRNA from 1 species